rnacentral:rRNA from 1 species
GCAGCGCGAAAACCUUACCACCUUUGACAUGUACGGAAUCCUUUAGAGAUAGAGGAGUGCUCGAAAGAGAGCCGUUAACACAGGUGCUGCAUGGCUGUCGUCAGCUCGUGUCGUGAGAUGUUGGGUUAAGUCCCGCAACGAGCGCAACCCUUGUCAUUAGUUGCUACAUUCAUUGGGCACUCUAAUGAGACUGCCGGUGACAAACCGGAGGAAGGUGGGGAUGACGUCAAGUCCUCAUGGCCCUUAUAGGUGGGGCUACACACGUCAUACAAUGGCUGGUACAAAGGGUUGCCAACCCGCGAGGGGGAGCUAAUCCCAUAAAGCCAGUCGUAGUCCGGAUCGCAGUCUGCAACUCGACUGCGUGAAGUCGGAAUCGCUAGUAAUCGUGGAUCAGAAUGUCACGGUGAAUACGUUCCCGGGUCUU